CCUACGGGGGGCAGCAGUGAGGAAUAUUGGUCAAUGGACGGAAGUCUGAACCAGCCAUGCCGCGUGCAGGAAGACGGCUCUAUGAGUUGUAAACUGCUUUUGUACAAGGGUAAACCUGAAUACGUGUAUUCAGCUGAAAGUACUGUACGAAUAAGGAUCGGCUAACUCCGUGCCAGCAGCCGCGGUAAUACGGAGGAUCCAAGCGUUAUCCGGAUUUAUUGGGUUUAAAGGGUGCGUAGGCGGAUUGAUAAGUUAGAGGUGAAAUGUCCGAGCUUAACUCGGGAACUGCCUCUAAUACUGUUGAU
rnacentral:rRNA from 1 species